rnacentral:rRNA from 1 species
AGUGAACGCUGGCGGUAGGCCUAACACAUGCAAGUCGAACGGCAGCACAGUAAGAGCUUGCUCUUACGGGUGGCGAGUGGCGGACGGGUGAGGAAUACAUCGGAAUCUACUUUUUCGUGGGGGAUAACGUAGGGAAACUUACGCUAAUACCGCAUACGACCUACGGGUGAAAGCAGGGGAUCUUCGGACCUUGCGCGAUUGAAUGAGCCGAUGUCGGAUUAGCUAGUUGGCGGGGUAAAGGCCCACCAAGGCGACGAUCCGUAGCUGGUCUGAGAGGAUGAUCAGCCACAUUGGAACUGAGACACGGUCCAGACUCCUAAGGGAGGCAGCAGUGGGGAAUAUUGGACAAUGGGCGCAAGCCUGAUCCAGCCAUACCGCGUGGGUGAAGAAGGCCUUCGGGUUGUAAAGCCCUUUUGUUGGGAAAGAAAAGCAGCAGGUUAAUACCCCGCUGUUCUGACGGUACCCAAAGAAUAAGCACCGGCUAACUUCGUG